rnacentral:rRNA from 1 species
GACGAACGCUGGCGGCGUGCUUAAUACAUGCAAGUCGAGCGAGACUCUUGAUGAAGCUUGCGAUUCAAGAGUUUAGCGGCGGACGGGUGAGUAACGCGUGGGCAACCUGCCCUCUAGUCUGGGAUAACAGAGCGAAAGUUCUGCUAACACCGGAUAUGCUUACAGUCAGGCAUCUGAAGGUAAGGAAAGGAUACGCUAGAGGAUGGGCCCGCGUCCCAUUAGCUAGUUGGUGAGGUAACGGCUCACCAAGGCGACGAUGGGUAGCCGACCUGAGAGGGUGACCGGCCACACUGGGACUGAGACACGGCCCAGACUCCUACGGGAGGCAGCAGUAGGGUAAUUUUCCGCAAUGGGCGAAAGCCUGACGGAGCAACGCCGCGUGAGGGAAGAAGGUCUUCGGAUUGUAAACCUCUGUCCCACGGGACGAAAAAAAUGACGGUACCGGGGGAGGAAGCUCCGGCUAACUACGUG